GGAUGUGGAAGGGAGGGGGAAAAAACAGAAAAGAAGAAGAAGAAGUUAUUUUAUUUCUUUUCUGUGCUGAUUUUUACCCCCUUUUUUUCUUUC
rnacentral:miRNA from 1 species